rnacentral:rRNA from 1 species
GGUUAGGUUGGUCCAGCUCCAAUAGCGUAUAUUAAAGCUGUUGCAGUUAAAAAGCUCGUAGUUGGAUUUUSGRUCCAGCUCCCAAUAGCGUAUAUUAAAGUUGUUGCAGUUAAAAAGCUUGUAGUUGAWCCUUGGGUCUGGCUGKCCGGUCCGCCUCACYGSGAGUAMUGGUCCGGCUGGACCUUUCCUUSUGGGGAACCUCAUGGCCUUCACUGCCUGUGGGGGGAACCAGGACUUUUACUGUGAAAAAAUURGAGUGUUCAAAGCAGGCCUUUGCUYGAAUMCAYUAGCAUGGAAUAAUWGAAUAGGACGUSCGGUUUUAUUUKGUUGGUUUCUAGGACCGCSGUAAUGAUUAAUAGGGAUAGUCGGGGGCGUCAGUAUUCAGCUGUCAGAGGUGAAAUUCUUGGAUUURCUGAAGACUAACUWCYGCGAAAGCAUUCGCCAAGGAUGUUUUCAUUAAUCAGGGAASGAAAGUUAGGGGAUGGAAGACGAUCAGAUACCGUCGUAGUCUUAACCAUAAACUAUGCCGACUAGGGAUCGGGCGGUGUUUAUAUGAUGCCCCCCUSGCCRCCUUACGAGAAAUCAAAGUYUUUGGGUUCUGGGGGGAGUAUGGUCGCAAGGCUGAAACUAAAGAAAUGACGAAGCCCCMCAGGC